CAGACAUUCUGCCCUGUGGAGUGCAGGUGCACACAUCACAUCACCGUGGGCAGCUGCCCUUCCAAGCAGCACAGACUUACUUGAUUUGAGAUCAUCGAUUAGUGUCUGAGCUGCGCUGAUGCAAAGUGAGAAUCCUUUACUCAGACCUCAAACAGUGCAUAGUCAACAAAGAUCCAUUUGUUUUUAAAGUUUAUGCAGGCUUAAAACCUUAACAUGUGACCUGGGCCCUAGGACAAAAGAAACUGCAUGCUCGGAAUUUAAAACUAAGCUAUCUAUCCUCCUGGAGCUAAACAAAAGCGGUCCCUUAAGUCACCAAUGCUAAAUAUAGAAGUGUUUUUAUUUAUUUUUGAAACAGUCUCACGUUGUCACCCUUGGUAGAGUGCCAUGGCAUCGCAGCUCCAGCAACCUCAAACUCUUAAGCUCAAGGGAUCCUUUUGCCUCAGCCUCCCAAGUAGCUGGGACUACAGGUGCCCACCACAGCGCCCGGCUAUUUUUAGAGAUGGGGUCUCGCACAUCUAAGAUCAGGCAAUCCACCUGCCUUGGCCUCCCAGAGUACUAGGCCACCACGCCCUGCCUAUAGAAGUGGUUUUUAAAACCUACCUUUUCUGUGGAGCCUAAUAAGUUUAUUUUUAAGAACUGAAAGAUCCCUCUUGUCCUUGCUUCCAAGAUGACAAAGAAAAGAAGGAACAACGGUCGUGCCAAAAAGGGUCGUGGCCACGUGCAACCUAUUCGCUGCAUGCACUGUGCCCGAUGCGUUCCCAAAGACAAAGCUAUAAAGAAGUUCGUCAUUCAGAACAUAGCGGAGGCGGCAGCUGUGAGGGAUAUUUCUGAAGUGAGUGUCUUCGACGCUUAUGUGCUUCCCAAGCUCUAUGUGCAGCUACAUGACUGUGUGAGUUGUGCUAUUCACAGCAAGGUAGUCAGGAACUCUUCUCGGGAAGCCGCCAGGACCGAACACCUCCACCCAGAUUUAGACCUGUGGGUGCUGCCCCACGACCUCCACCAAAGCCCAUGUAAGGAGUUGAGUUCUUGAGGACUGAAGAAUAACUAUCCUUUGGGAAAAAAAUAAAAUGGAAAUUAUACUUAA